AGGGCGGAAGCCACGGGACGUGGAGCAGAUGGUGAGGAUAGUGGGGAGGUAGCAGCAGAGGAUGACCCGAGGCAAAAGUGCAAGUGAAGAAAAGUCGCCUUGCCGGGCAGAGGAAAUUACUCCAGGAUUUGAAUCAUCACAAGAGAUUCACCAGAGGAUUUUAUACACUUGGGCUGUGGCAGCAGACUAAUUACAUCACAGCACUAGAGCUGAGAUACUGGCUGGGUGGAUUUCAGCAAAUUUCCAAGGGCACAUGACAUGUGGGCACAAAAGCCGGGAUUUCACACCAGGGGAUAAAGUAUAUCAGAAAUGAAGGCUGGGAUAAGUCUACGGAAGCUGCAGAAAUAACAUUCCAGAUCCCCAGGAAUCCACCCACCCACCCCUCCGACUUUGGCCGAACACCAUGGCUGGCUGCCGUGUGAAGAAUGGACUGUAGGGGGUGCCAGAGUGGCUGUGGGAAACAUCCCCUAGAAAUCUAGAAUUCAAAGCACUUACUUUGAGUGAUAUAUCCACAAGAAAGAGCCUUCUGUGCUAAAAGCAAAAAAGAAAUAAAAACAUAUCAUGUUACUUUUAA
rnacentral:lncRNA from 1 species